rnacentral:rRNA from 1 species
CGGCUACCACAUCCAAGGAAGGCAGCAGGCGCGCAAAUUACCCAAUCCCAAUACGGGGAGGUAGUGACGAUAAAUAACAAUAUGGGGCUCUUACGGGUCUCGUAAUUGGAAUGAGUACAAUUUAAAUCUCUUAACGAGGAACAAUUGGAGGGCAAGUCUGGUGCCAGCAGCCGCGGUAAUUCCAGCUCCAAUAGCGUAUAUUAAAGUUGUUGCAGUUAAAAAGCUCGUAGUUGAAUUUCGGGAUCUGUCCAUUGGUCGGGCUUCACGGUCCGUACUGGUGUGAUGGGUUCCUACCUUCUGAAUAACCAGCAUGCCAUUUAGUUGGUGCGUUGGGGAAGCAGAGCUAUUACCUUGAAAAAAUUAGAGUGCUUAAAGCAGGCUAGUGCUUGAAUAGAUUAGCAUGGAAUAAUAAAAUAGGACGGCAUGGUUCUAUUUUGUUGGUUUCUAGGAUCACCGUAAUGAUUAAUAGGGAUAGUUGGGGGCAUUAGUAUUCAAUUGUCAGAGGUGAAAUUCUUGGAUUUAUUGAAGACUAACUUCUGCGAGAGCAUUUGCCAAGGA